rnacentral:rRNA from 1 species
CGUUUAGGGGUAAACCUGAGAAACCCGAAAGGUCGAAGGGCGAAAUUCAGUGCGUCCGCUUCAGGCGACCGGCAGGGAUGAGCAGCGCGUUUGAGUCGUUCGCGGCAAGGCGCUCCCUCUGUCGGCUUCGGCCGGCUGCAGACGCGUGCACUUUUCGCCUGGUAGGACGUCGCGAUUCGUUGGGCGUCGGUCGACGGGGCGGGGUGGAGCCCAUCUGAUGUUCGUCGUCUCGGCGACAACUUCGGGUGGACCCCUGCUUCCUGGCCGGCUGCUCGACGGUAUCUGGAUAGGUCGGAGGCCGCUCCUCGCGAGCGUUCGGCUUGUAGCAAGCACGUCAGUGCAGGUGAUUCGCGGCCCUCGGGCUUGCUGUUACUUCCUGGCGCUCUGUUGGCUGCAAUGUUUUCGAACCGUGCCGCCCAUGACCAAUCAGCGACGCUAUAGCUUUGGGUACUUUCAGGACCCGUCUUGAAACACGGACCAAGGAGUCUAGCACGUGCGCAAGUCAUUGGGAAUUACUAUACCUAAAGGCGCAAUGAAAGUAAAGAUUUCUGCUUGCAGUUAUCUAGGGAAGACGAGUGGUCUCUCGGGACCGCUCUGCAUUCCCGGGGCGCCUCGUGCUCACUGCGAGCUGAGGCGCACCAUGAGCGUACGCGCUGGGACCCGAAAGAUGGUGAACUAUGCCUGGU